rnacentral:misc_RNA from 1 species
AAGACCAGGACCAUCAUGCUUAAGCCUUGUAGUCUCAUCUGGAAACUUUCCCCCAUAUAUGCUCUCCCCGCCAGACCCAUCGCGUUUAACAAAAUCACCACCCUGAGCCAUGGAACCCUUAAUAAUGCUAUGGAAAAAUGACCCUUUGUAAUGCAACGGCUUUCCAGUUUUAGGACCAAUUCCCUUCUCCCCUGUACAAAGGGCACGGAAAUUUUCUGCAGUCUUGGGAGCAAUAUCAGGGAAAAGCUCAAAAGCCAUCCUUUCACAAGGAUCACCAUCAAUGGACACGUCCAUAAAAACCAAUGGAUUCUUCUUCUUUGCCAUAUUCUAUGUUCCCUGUAAGAGACGCAGAGCCACAGAGAAAUUAAAAGAUAUAGGGCGAAGAAAAACCUAGGCUCUUUCUACAAAUAAGGGCUAAGGGGAGAACUU